rnacentral:tRNA from 1 species
CGCGGGGUAGAGCAGUGGUAAGCUUGCUACUUUGACUUGGUAGAGGUCGCGUGUUCGAGUCACGCCCCCGCAACUA